rnacentral:rRNA from 1 species
CCUACGGGUGGCAGCAGUGAGGAAUAUUGGUCAAUGGACGAGAGUCUGAACCAGCCAAGUAGCGUGAAGGAUGACUGCCCUAUGGGUUGUAAACUUCUUUUAUAUGGGAAUAAAACGUUCCACGUGUGGGAUUUUGUAUGUACCAUAUGAAUAAGGAUCGGCUAACUCCGUGCCAGCAGCCGCGGUAAUACGGAGGAUCCGAGCGUUAUCCGGAUUUAUUGGGUUUAAAGGGUGCGUAGGUGGAUUGUUAAGUCAGUUGUGAAAGUUUGCGGCCCAACCGUAAAAUUGCAGUUGAAACUGGCAGUCUUGAGUAAAGUAGAGGUGGGCGGAAUUCGUGGUGUAGCGGUGAAAUGCUUAGAUAUCACGAAGAACUCCGAUUGCGAAGGCAGUUCACUGGACUGCAACUGACACUGAGGCUCGAAAGUGUGGGUAUCAAACAGGAUUAGAUACCCCUGUAGUC